rnacentral:rRNA from 1 species
UACGAAGGGGGCUAGCGUUGCUCGGAAUCACUGGGCGUAAAGCGCACGUAGGCGGGUCCUUAAGUCAGGGGUGAAAUCCCGGAGCUCAACUCCAGAACUGCCUUUGAUACUGAGAAGCUUGAGUCCGGGAGAGGUGAGUGGAACUGCGAGUGUAGAGGUGAAAUUCGUAGAUAUUCGCAAGAACACCAGUGGCGAAGGCGGCUCACUGGCCCGGUACUGACGCUGAGGUGCGAAAGCGUGGGGAGCAAACAGG